GCAGGAGAUGGGUUCUCAGAAACGGCUACUUAAAACUGCUGAAGAAAUGAUGGCAGAAGAUAGGAAUCCCAUAGCUUCAAGGUGUUUAUUGGAGUAUAUACCAAUGAGUUAUCCAGACGUGGAGCCAGGUUCACGGGACAGAAAAACUGGCGGAAGCGGGAUGGGGGGAACACCUAUCCUUUUUUGGCUGUUAAUCCUUGUCAAUUUCUGGGCCACUUCCCUUCUAGUUUUCUCCAGACAGCCCAGCACAAGAAAAUACACCCUCAGAGGGAAGCCUCACACUCCAGUGAUCUUAGAAGACAUUUAUCUGAUUUGAGCUCCAACUUGGCUUUUUGUCAAAAAGACAGACGUCACGGAAGUUAAGACUCUGGUAGCCAUGGGACCAUCAGCUGUACAAACAUAAUAACUUAGUUGUGCAGACAAAUAUCCCCUGAGCCCCUACUAUACCCCAGGCCCUCUGCUGGGGUUGAGGACACAGCAGCAAAAAAAGAGAGAUGCUUCUGGCCUCAACAAGUAGAGAUCCCAAAUGGAAAUAUCUGAUGAUUCUCCUAAGGUGGAAAUGGACUUCUUCUCUGAUGGUAACCAGGAGGGAGCACUGGACUCGGAGUCAGAAUUGUUGAGCUGGAAUGCCAGCUUCCAGA